AUAAAUUCCAUACUAACAGUGUAGAAUGUAAACUGGCGAAGUCAGUUGAUAGUUAUCCAUCUAAAAUAAAAGGAUGACGAGUGACGUUCACGAGAUUUCUUGAAUGAAAUACUUAUCGCGAUAAAUUAAGGUGUCUUGUUAAACUCAAAACACAGUUGACGCUAUCAAGUUCAAUUUGUUUGCAGAAUCCUCGAGGAUUACCGCUAAGUCAGCUUCGG
rnacentral:lncRNA from 1 species